GAUGAACGCUGGCGGCGUGCUUAACACAUGCAAGUCGAACGGUGAAGCCAAGCUUGCUUGGUGGAUCAGUGGCGAACGGGUGAGUAACACGUGAGCAACCUGCCCUGGACUCUGGGAUAAGCGCUGGAAACGGUGUCUAAUACUGGAUAUGAGCCUCUAUCGCAUGGUGGGGGUUGGAAAGAUUUUUCGGUCUGGGAUGGGCUCGCGGCCUAUCAGCUUGUUGGUGAGGUAAUGGCUCACCAAGGCGUCGACGGGUAGCCGGCCUGAGAGGGUGACCGGCCACACUGGGACUGAGACACGGCCCAGACUCCUACGGGAGGCAGCAGUGGGGAAUAUUGCACAAUGGGCGGAAGCCUGAUGCAGCAACGCCGCGUGAGGGAUGACGGCCUUCGGGUUGUAAACCUCUUUUAGCAGGGAAGAAGCGAAAGUGACGGUA
rnacentral:rRNA from 1 species